UACGUAGGGUGCAAGCGUUGUCCGGAAUUAUUGGGCGUAAAGAGCUCGUAGGUGGCCUGUCGCGUCGGCUGUGAAAACUCGGGGCUCAACUCCGAGCUUGCAGUCGAUACGGGCAGGCUAGAGUUCGGUAGGGGAGACUGGAAUUCCUGGUGUAGCGGUGAAAUGCGCAGAUAUCAGGAGGAACACCGGUGGCGAAGGCGGGUCUCUGGGCCGAUACUGACGCUGAGGAGCGAAAGCGUGGGGAGCAAACAGG
rnacentral:rRNA from 1 species